GCAAGCAGCUUAAGGAGCCCCUGCGCUUAGGAGGAAAGGAAGAGGAACUGACAGUAGACGUUUUGCUCCUGGCUGGAGACUGCAGGUCCCGAUGGGCAGACCUGUGAGGACCCCUGCAGGACUUAUCCUCCUGUUAUUGUGGCUGCUGCACUGUGUGAGUGGAGGAGAGCAGGUGGAGCAGAGUCCUGCUUUCCUGAGUGUCCAGGAGGGAGAGAGCUGUGUCAUCAACUGCACUUACACAAGCAGUGGCUUCUUCUACUUCUAUUGGUAUAAGCAAGAACCUGGGAAAGGUCUCCAGUUUCUUAUAAACAUUCUCUCAAAUAUGGACAAGAAAGAAGACCAAAGACUCACUGUCCUCAUGAAUGAGAAAUCCAAACACUUCUCCCUGCAACUCUCAGCUGCCCAUCCUGCAGACUCUGCUGUGUACUUCUGUGCAGCAAAGCACAGCCCUGCACGGGCACCUGCAGCCUCUACCCAAACCCACAUGAGGGUUGUUUCAGCUGUUUGGGGGAUGAACCAGGAGAUUUCCCAUACUCUGUCAGUCUCUGUCUCUGCCUCUCUUUUGUUUUCUGAACAUUAUUCUUGCAUUUGCAAAAAAAAGAGCUACAGAGUGGAAGACACAGACACUCACACAGAUAAAUUUCUAUCUGCUGGCUCACCCCCUGAUUAGUGCAGUAUCGAGGUCUGGACUAGGCUGAAAUUGGGAGCAAAAAGCCUCUAUUUUAGUUUCCCUCUUGCGCAACAGGAACCAUGUUAUGGACCUUCACAGGAGCGUCAAUGACUCUGAAAGAAGUGGUGUGGUUUGAGCUGAACUGACACUCUGAUAUGGGAUGCCAGUGUUUCACAGAGUGGCUUAACAUGCUGCACCACAAUGCGGGACCAUUGAACCUAAUUGUUACAUUGCACUAUUUUAUUUCUCCUGCCAUUAUCCUCUUGUUUUUGUAAUCAAAGGCAGUAUUUCUGGGUUCAGAUAUGACCUUUACAUCGAUAGCUUGUGCAACGUAGGAAGCAGCAAACAGAUAUUAUAAGAAAAAUAGAUGUUGACUUUCUAAAUGUCUUAUAGAGAAUUAUUGAUGUUAACGAAGUUACAAUGGCCUUGUCUUACAUUGUAAUUGUUGCUCUUAUUACAGGCAAACAGCAUGUAUUAAUUUGCAUAUUCUCUUUUUCUUAUAAGUGUAAUCACAAAGUAUUUGUUCUUUUAUGUCUUGCUUAUCUCCAUCUGCAGAUUAUUCUCAUGGUAUGGUGUUUUAGCAUGUAUGAGGUUUUCCUCCUCUUAAAAAUGACAUUCAUUGAAUGGCUAUAUGACUGUCUGUUUAUCCACUCACCAGUUGCAGAUGGUCAGUGUGUGUGUUUGAUCUGAAUAGUUUGCUUUGUAAAUAGAGAUAAUAUGAGAAUUGUACAGAUCAAGUGUAUUUGACAUGCAAAAUUGGCCUUAAAGCUGGUUGAAUAUCUAUUCCAAUGAGUUUGGUAUCAGAACAUAGGCAUUUUGAGAACUGCUAAAUCAAAGCCAAAUGGAAAAGCAAGACACUGUCAUUAUUGGAAAUGUAGAU